rnacentral:rRNA from 1 species
AUGGUAUGUACUGGCUUUACUGAUUCCUCCUUCUUGAAGAACUGUAAUGUCAUUAAUUUGGUGUUGCAGGGAAACAGGACUGUUACUUUGAAAAAAUUAGAGUGUUUAAAGCAAGCUAACGCUUGAAUACAUUAGCAUGGAAUAAUGAAAUAGGACGUUCGAUCCUAUUUUGUUGGUUUCUAGGAUUGACGUAAUGAUUAAUAGGGAUAGUUGGGGGCAUUAGUAUUCAAUUGUCAGAGGUGAAAUUCUUGGAUUUAUUGAAGACUGACUACUGCGAAAGCAUUUGCCAAGGAUGUUUUCAUUAAUCAAGAACGAAAGUUAGGGGAUCGAAGACGUUCAGAUACCGUCGUAGUCUUAACCAUAAACUAUGCCGACUAGGGAUCGGAUGAUGUUAAUUUUUUAAUGACUCAUUCGGCGCCUUACG